GAUGAACGCUGGCGGCGUGCUUAACACAUGCAAGUCGAACGAAGCACUUUAUUUGAUUUCCUUCGGGACUGAUUAUUUUGUGACUGAGUGGCGGACGGGUGAGUAACGCGUGGGUAACCUGCCUUGUACAGGGGGAUAACAGUUGUAAACGGCUGCUAAUACCGCAUAAGCGCACAGCAUCGCAUGAUGCAGUGUGAAAAACUCCGGUGGUAUAAGAUGGACCCGCGUUGGAUUAGCUAGUUGGUGAGGUAACGGCCCACCAAGGCGACGAUCCAUAGCCGACCUGAGAGGGUGACCGGCCACAUUGGGACUGAGACACGGCCCAAACUCCUACGGGAGGCAGCAGUGGGGAAUAUUGCACAAUGGGCGAAAGACUGAUGCAGCGACGCCGCGUGAGCGAAGAAGUAUUUCGGUAUGUAAAGCUCUAUCAGCAGGGAAGAUAAUGACGGUACCUGACUAAGAAGCACCGGCUAAAUACGUG
rnacentral:rRNA from 1 species